rnacentral:rRNA from 1 species
UACGAAGGGGGCUAGCGUUGUUUGGAAUUACUGGGCGUAAAGCGCACGUAGGCGGAUACUUAAGUCAGGGGUGAAAUCCCGGGGCUCAACCCCGGAACUGCCUUUGAUACUGGGUAUCUCGAGUCCGGAAGAGGUGAGUGGAAUUCCGAGUGUAGAGGUGAAAUUCGUAGAUAUUCGGAGGAACACCAGUGGCGAAGGCGGCUCACUGGUCCGGUACUGACGCUGAGGUGCGAAAGCGUGGGGAGCAAACAGG